rnacentral:rRNA from 1 species
UUGCCUUAGUAGCGGCGAGUGAAGCGGCAAAAGCUCAAAUUUGAAAUCUGGCACUUUCAGUGUCCGAGUUGUAAUUUGAAGAAGGUAUCUUUGGGUCUGGCUCUUGUCUAUGUUUCUUGGAACAGAACGUCACAGAGGGUGAGAAUCCCGUGCGAUGAGAUGACCCAGACCUAUGUAAAGUUCCUUCGAAGAGUCGAGUUGUUUGGGAAUGCAGCUCUAAGUGGGUGGUAAAUUCCAUCUAAAGCUAAAUAUUGGCGAGAGACCGAUAGCGAACAAGUACAGUGAUGGAAAGAUGAAAAGAACUUUGAAAAGAGAGUGAAAAAGUACGUGAAAUUGUUGAAAGGGAAGGGCUUGAGAUCAGACUUGGUAUUUUGUAUGUUACUCUUUCGGGGGUGGCCUCUACAGUUUACCGGGCCAGCAUCAGUUUGGGCGGUAGGAGAAUUGCAAAGAAAUGUGGCACUGCUUCGGUAGUGUGUUAUAGUCUUUGUCGAUACUGCCAGCCUAGACUGAGGACUGCGGCUUCGGCCUAGGAUG